rnacentral:rRNA from 1 species
GACGAACGCUGGCGGCGUGCCUAAUACAUGCAAGUCGAGCGCAGGAAAUCAUCCGAACCCUUCGGGGGGACGCUGGUGGAAUGAGCGGCGGACGGGUGAGUAACACGUAAAGAACCUGCCCUCAGGUCUGGGAUAACCACGAGAAAUCGGGGCUAAUACCGGAUGGGUCAUCGGACCGCAUGGUCCGAGGAUGAAAGGCGCUUCAGCGUCGCCUGGGGAUGGCUUUGCGGUGCAUUAGCUAGUUGGUGGGGUAAUGGCCCACCAAGGCGACGAUGCAUAGCCGACCUGAGAGGGUGAUCGGCCACACUGGGACUGAGACACGGCCCAGACUCCUACGGGAGGCAGCAGUAGGGAAUCUUCCACAAUGGACGAAAGUCUGAUGGAGCAACGCCGCGUGAACGAUGAAGGCCUUCGGGUCGUAAAGUUCUGUUGUAAGGGAAGAACAAGUGCCGCAGGCAAUGGCGGCACCUUGACGGUACCUUGCGAGAAAGCCACGGCUAACUACGUGCCAGCCGCCGCGGUAA